UAAUCUGCGAUAAGCGCCGGUAAGGUGAUAUGAACCGUUAUAACCGGCGAUACCCGAAUGGGGAAACCCAGUGUGAUUCGUCACACUAUCAUUAACUGAAUCCAUAGGUUAAUGAGGCGAACCGGGGGAACUGAAACAUCUAAGUACCCCGAGGAAAAGAAAUCAACCGAGAUUCCCCCAGUAGCGGCGAGCGAACGGGGAGGAGCCCAGAGCCUGAAUCAGCAUGUGUGUUAGUGGAAGCGUCUGGAAAGGCGCGCGAUACAGGGUGACAGCCCCGUACACAAAAGCGCAUGUGCUGUGAGCUCGAUGAGUAGGGCGGGACACGUGGUAUCCUGUCUGAAUAUGGGGGGACCAUCCUCCAAGGCUAAAUACUCCUGACUGACCGAUAGUGAACCAGUACCGUGAGGGAAAGGCGAAAAGAACCCCGGCGAGGGGAGUGAAAAAGAACCUGAAACCGUGUACGUACAAGCAGUGGGAGCACCCUUUGGGUGUGACUGCGUACCUUUUGUAUAAUGGGUCAGCGACUUAUAUUCUGUAGCAAGGUUAACCGAAUAGGGGAGCCGGAGGGAAACCGAGUCUUAACCGGGCGUUAAGUUGCAGGGUAUAGACCCGAAACCCGGUGAUCUAGCCAUGGGCAGGUUGAAGGUUGGGUAACACUAACUGGAGGACCGAACCGACUAAUGUUGAAAAAUUAGCGGAUGACCUGUGGCUGGGGGUGAAAGGCCAAUCAAACCGGGAGAUAGCUGGUUCUCCCCGAAAGCUAUUUAGGUAGCGCCUCGUGAAUUCAUCUCCGGGGGUAGAGCACUGUUUCGGCUAGGGGGCCAUCCCGGCUUACCAACCCGAUGCAAACUGCGAAUACCGGAGAAUGUUAUCACGGGAGACACACGGCGGGUGCUAACGUCCGUCGUGAAGAGGGAAACAACCCAGACCGCCAGCUAAGGUCCCAAAGUCAUGGUUAAGUGGGAAACGAUGUGGGAAGGCCCAGACAGCCAGGAUGUUGGCUUAGAAGCAGCCAUCAUUUAAAGAAAGCGUAAUAGCUCACUGGUCGAGUCGGCCUGCGCGGAAGAUGUAACGGGGCUAAACCAUGCACCGAAGCUGCGGCAGCGACACUGUGUGUUGUUGGGUAGGGGAGCGUUCUGUAAGCCUGUGAAGGUGUGUCGUGAGGCAUGCUGGAGGUAUCAGAAGUGCGAAUGCUGACAUAAGUAACGAUAAAGCGGGUGAAAAGCCCGCUCGCCGGAAGACCAAGGGUUCCUGUCCAACGUUAAUCGGGGCAGGGUGAGUCGACCCCUAAGGCGAGGCCGAAAGGCGUAGUCGAUGGGAAACGGGUUAAUAUUCCCGUACUUGGUGUUACUGCGAAGGGGGGACGGAGAAGGCUAUGUUGGCCGGGCGACGGUUGUCCCGGUUUAAGCGUGUAGGUGUGUGUUCCAGGUAAAUCCGGUUCACUUUAACACUGAGGCGUGACGACGAGGCACUACGGUGCUGAAGCAACAAAUGCCCUGCUUCCAGGAAAAGCCUCUAAGCAUCAGGUAACAUCAAAUCGUACCCCAAACCGACACAGGUGGUCAGGUAGAGAAUACCAAGGCGCUUGAGAGAACUCGGGUGAAGGAACUAGGCAAAAUGGUGCCGUAACUUCGGGAGAAGGCACGCUGACACGUAGGUGAAGUGAUUUACUCAUGGAGCUGAAGUCAGUCGAAGAUACCAGCUGGCUGCAACUGUUUAUUAAAAACACAGCACUGUGCAAACACGAAAGUGGACGUAUACGGUGUGACGCCUGCCCGGUGCCGGAAGGUUAAUUGAUGGGGUCAGCGCAAGCGAAGCUCCUGAUCGAAGCCCCGGUAAACGGCGGCCGUAACUAUAACGGUCCUAAGGUAGCGAAAUUCCUUGUCGGGUAAGUUCCGACCUGCACGAAUGGCGUAAUGAUGGCCAGGCUGUCUCCACCCGAGACUCAGUGAAAUUGAACUCGCUGUGAAGAUGCAGUGUACCCGCGGCAAGACGGAAAGACCCCGUGAACCUUUACUAUAGCUUGACACUGAACAUUGAGCCUUGAUGUGUAGGAUAGGUGGGAGGCUUUGAAGUGUGGACGCCAGUCUGCAUGGAGCCGACCUUGAAAUACCACCCUUUAAUGUUUGAUGUUCUAACGUGGACCCGUUACCCGGGUUGCGGACAGUGUCUGGUGGGUAGUUUGACUGGGGCGGUCUCCUCCUAAAGAGUAACGGAGGAGCACGAAGGUUGGCUAAUCCUGGUCGGACAUCAGGAGGUUAGUGCAAUGGCAUAAGCCAGCUUGACUGCGAGCGUGACGGCGCGAGCAGGUGCGAAAGCAGGUCAUAGUGAUCCGGUGGUUCUGAAUGGAAGGGCCAUCGCUCAACGGAUAAAAGGUACUCCGGGGAUAACAGGCUGAUACCGCCCAAGAGUUCAUAUCGACGGCGGUGUUUGGCACCUCGAUGUCGGCUCAUCACAUCCUGGGGCUGAAGUAGGUCCCAAGGGUAUGGCUGUUCGCCAUUUAAAGUGGUACGCGAGCUGGGUUUAGAACGUCGUGAGACAGUUCGGUCCCUAUCUGCCGUGGGCGCUGGAGAACUGAGGGGGGCUGCUCCUAGUACGAGAGGACCGGAGUGGACGCAUCACUGGUGUUCGGGUUGUCAUGCCAAUGGCACUGCCCGGUAGCUAAAUGCGGAAGAGAUAAGUGCUGAAAGCAUCUAAGCACGAAACUUGCCCCGAGAUGAGUUCUCCCUGAGACUUAAAGUCUCCUGAAGGAACGUUGAAGACGACGACGUUGAUAGGCCGGGUGUGUAAGCGCAGCGAUGCGUU
rnacentral:rRNA from 1 species